GGGGAUUUGGCUCAGUGGUAGAGCGCUUGCCUAUGAGGCGCAAGGCCCUGGGUUCGGUCCCCAGCUCCG
rnacentral:tRNA from 1 species